UACAGAGACCCCAAGCGUUAUCCGGAAUUACUGGGCGUAAAGGGUGCGUAGGCGGCGCAAUUAGUCUAUCGUUAAAGCCCCGGGCUCAACCCGGGUCUCGCGGUGGAAACGGUUGUGCUAGAGAAUGCGAGAGGUUCACGGAACUCAUAGUGUAGGGGUGAAAUCCGUUGAUAUUAUGGGGAACACCGAAAGCGAAGGCAGUGAACUGGCGCAAUUCUGACGCUGAAGCACGAAACCCUGGGUAGCGAAAGGG
rnacentral:misc_RNA from 1 species